rnacentral:rRNA from 1 species
GACGAACGCUGGCGGCGUGCCUAAUACAUGCAAGUAGAACGCACAGUUUAUACCGUAGCUUGCUACACCAUAAACUGUGAGUUGCGAACGGGUGAGUAACGCGUAGGUAACCUGCCUGGUAGCGGGUGAUAACUAUUGGAAACGAUAGCUAAUACCGCAUAAUAUUGAUUAUUGCAUGAUAAUUGAUUGAAAGAUGCUAUUGCAUCACUACCAGAUGGACCUGCGUUGUAUUAGCUAGUAGGUGAGGUAACGGCUCACCUAGGCGACGAUACAUAGCCGACCUGAGAGGGUGAUCGGCCACACUGGGACUGAGACACGGCCCAGACUCCUACGGGAGGCAGCAGUAGGGAAUCUUCGGCAAUGGACGAAAGUCUGACCGAGCAACGCCGCGUGAGUGAAGAAGGUUUUCGGAUCGUAAAGCUCUGUUGUAAGAGAAGAACGGGUGUGAGAGUGGAAAGUUCACACUGUGACGGUAUCUUACCAGAAAGGGACGGCUAACUACGUG